rnacentral:misc_RNA from 1 species
GUUUAUGAUUACAUGCCUAACGGGAAUCUCGAUGAUCUUUUGUUUCCAUCAUUUGAUGAUCAAACCAGGAAGAAACUAUUGACAUGGCCUCAAAGGAAGAGCAUAAUUUUGGAUGUGGCAAAGGGAUUAGCUUAUUUGCACUAUGGAGUGAAGCCUGCAAUAUAUCAUAGAGAUAUCAAGGCAACAAAUAUAUUGUUAGAUGCUGAUAUGAGAGCAAGAGUGGCUGAUUUUGGGUUGGCAAAGCAGAGUAGGGAAGGUCAGUCUCAUCUCAC